rnacentral:rRNA from 1 species
UCUUAGAGUUUGAUCCUAGCUCAGGGUGAACGCUGGCGGCGUGGAUAAGGCAUGCAAGUCGAAUGGUCGUUCCUCACUCCGUUCGUCACAACCCGCAGAACAUAGCAGAUCGUACGCAGAAGAACGCGGAAAUCCGUAUAAUAGUGAAUUCCGCAUAGUUCAGCGUGCAGUCCGCAUAGUUCCGCGUGGGAGCGACGAGUGAAGCGAGGAGCGACCAUGGCAGACGAGGUAGGAACACGUAAGUACGUACCCCAGAGUCGGGCAUACCCCGGAGAAAUCCGGAAUAAUUCCCGAUAGUCUCUACGGAGUAAAGUUUUUCGCUCUGGGAGCGGCUUGCGCAGUAUCAGCUUGUUGGUGCGGUAACGGCGUACCAAGGCUAUGACGCUUAGGGGGAGUGAGAGCUCGAUCCCCACCGAUGGAACUGAGACACGGUCCAUACUCCUACGGGAGGCCGCAGUCGAGAAUCAUCCGCAAUGGGCGAAAGCCUGACGGUGCGACGCCGCGUGAUCGAUGACGCCUUUCGGGGUGUAAAGAUCUUUUAUGGGGGAAGAAAUCAUUGACGCUACCCCAUGAAUAAGGGGCUCCUAAUUCCGUGCCAGCAGGAGCGGUCAUACGGAAGCCUCGAGCGUUACCCGGAAUCACUGGGCGUAAAGGGUGCGUAGGCGGCUGUAUUAGUCUCGUGUUAAAGACCGGAGCUCAACUCCGGGAGUGCGCGGGAAACGGUACAGCUUGAGGGCGAGAGAGGUGUACGGAACUCAUGGUGUAGGGGUGAAAUCCGUUGAUAUCAUGGGGAACACCAACAGCGAAGGCAGUACACUGGCUCGUUCCUGACGCUGAGGCACGAAAGCGUGGGUAGCGAACGGGAUUAGAUACCCCGGUAGUCCAUGCCCUAAACUCUCCUAACUAGCCUUACGGAGUAUCGACCCUCUGUGAGGCGAAGCUAACGCGUUAAGUUAGGCGCCUGGGAAGUACGAGCGCAAGCUUAAAACUCAAAGGAAUAGACGGGGACUCGCACAAGCAGUGGAUCAUGUGGCUUAAUUCGUAGCUAAACGAAGAACCUUACCAAGGCUAGACAUCUAGGGGAACUCUCUGAGAAAUCGGAGGGGCCUUCGGGCUCCUAGACAGGUGCUGCAUGGCCGUCGUCAGUUCGUGGCUUGAGUUGUUCCGUUAAGUCGGGAAACGAACGCAACCCCUAUUGCCUGUUACAAGUGUCAGGCGAGACUGCCCGUUUUUGGGAGGAAGGUGGGGAUGACGCCAGGUCCGUAUUGCCCUCGAUGCCUUGGGCUGCACACAUGAUACAAUGGGUAUGACAACGGGAUGCGAUGCCGCGAGGCGGAGCUAAUCCUUAGAAACGUACCCUCAGUUCGGAUUGCAGGCUGCAACUCGCCUGCAUGAAGCCGGAAUUGCUAGUAAUCGCGGGUCAGCUAUACCGCGGUGAAUACGUUCUCGAGUCUUGUACUCACCGCCCGUCAAGUCAAGGAAGCUGGGAGUACCCGACGU